rnacentral:rRNA from 1 species
AAAAACAUAGCUUUCUGACCUAAUAAUAGAAAGUUUAUUCUGCCCAGUGAACAUUUAAACGGCCGCGGUACCCUGACCGUGCAAAGGUAGCAUAAUAACUCGCCUCCUAAUUAGAGGCUGGAAUCAACGAACGCACGUGAGCUUAACUGUCUCCAUCUAAACCCCAAAAACUUAACCUCCAGGUGAAAAGGCCUGGAUCCAACUAAAAGACAAGAAGACCCUAUCGAGCUUCAUUACCUUUUCAGUAACUCUAAACCACUAAGUGAACUUUUCAUUACUGAAAACUAAUUUAGUUGGGGCAACUAAGGAACCUCUCAAGCUUCCUUUAAAUCAUUAUUCACUAAUCAAAGACCCAGUCCGUCUGAUCAAAAGAAUAAGCUACCGUAGGGAUAACAGGUUAAUUUUUCUCGAGAGCCCACAUUAACAGAAAAGUUUGACACCUCGAUGUUGGCUUAGGUUAUCCCGUUAGUGCAGAAGCUAACAAAGGUGGGUUUGUUCAACCCUUAAGAACCUACGUGAUCUG